GGUUGGUUGAGAGGUCAAAAAAAAAAAGGGCUACUCUCGCCGCGCAACGCAAUGUGACGGAGGGCGCAUGCGCCGCCCCUCGCUGACCAAUGGCAGGCCGACGAAGACAUUCCCUCCGACCAAUAGAAAGCCUCGGAUGGGGGGGGGCUAGCAGUCGGUGGUGUGUCAUAGUGUGUGAGGGUUGCGUAGGAGAUUGUGAAUCUUGUGCACAUUGGAAACCAGUUACAGUGGAUGUGAGCAUAUGUGAACUCUUCUUACUUUACUGUGAUGGUUGAAGUCUGGUAUGCAUCAAGAGGACUGCUCUGAUGGUUUGAAAUGGCUAGUCCAGAUGCAUCAUGGUCACGUUCCCUUUCCUCCAGUCAUGCCUGCCAUGCCAUGGGACAAAGUACAUGUUCAAAGAUAUUACACUGACUCUACCAGGGAUUUUUAGCUCUGUUUGCAGCCAGCUGGAAAACUGGCACCCACCCUUGUGAAAAUGUACUCCAUGAUGUCUACAUCCCUGGUCAGAGGAAAGAGCAGAACAAAUGUUCAGGAAUUGAAAAAUAUGUUAUUUUCCUUAGCCCUGGUUCAUUUUUAAAAAAGAAUUAUAGCCUAAGGGGAAAGGAAAUAAUGCAGAGAGGUCAGAUAUGCUUUGUAUGUUUUGACAAACAUUGCAACUACCCAUUUUCCAUGGGUCUAAUUUCAUCUUCUUGCAUCUACUGACAUAAAAUGUCAACACAAAAAUGUAAGGCUAGAGCUCAGUUUUAAAUAACAGUAAGCUAUGACAGAAAAAUUGUUAAUGGGUUGACUUCAGGCAAUUUUUCAAAAGAAAAAGUGUAUUGGAGCAAUCAAAGCAAUUCAGAGAUGCAGAGGAGUUGGUACUGGGGCAGGAGGCCAGCAGAGGGAACGCUAAGGAGAUGAGCAGAUGGCACAAAAAUGCUUCAUCUCCCUCCUGAAGCGAAUGCGGGUUCACUUUGUGAUACUAUGCUUGGCAUCAGAAGAAACCUGCUUCAUUUUCCCAGCUUUUCUCAAAUAGGUAUUUUAUGCUCUAAUCAGAGGUUGCACACACUACCUUUUGAUCAGAAGUUCUAUGCUAUAAAUAACACUGCUAUAAACACCUUCUCAUAACUGCGUGUCUUGAUAAGUCAGGCUUGGCUCCCAAGGAUGGUCUCAUAAAAUACAACCAGUGCACUUGGCCAGUUAAGAACAUAAACAAAACCUAUCAUAUUAAAUGGAAUUCUGGGACCGAAGGGGAGAUACGUGGGAGUGAUAAAGUACUGCAGAGCUCUGAAUGCUACAGCCUCUCUAUCACGUGGCUGGUGCUGGUUCUGGGAGCUGAAGUGUUUCUAGGUCCAUAAAGCACCUGAGAAGUGCAAGGGAAGGAUUUACCCAUAAUCCCACAGCAGAAGAAAUAUGCUGAAGGACUUUUGCUUCAGUUCUGAUAUGUUCUAAUGCAUCUAAUUCAGAUAUAUUAGUGGAAAAGAGCUUUCAGCUGCAAAGUCUGUUCUAGGACAUGUAAAAUGGGGGGUACAUCCCUAUUCUACUAACCCUGCAGCAUGGUCUGGUUUGAGAUCAAUGAAAGUUAAUGCUGGCCAUAGCCUGUGAGUGCUUACCGUCCACACAUUCAAGGAGCAGCAGUGAAUGGGUACUCUGUAGCAGCAUGGUUCUGUUAGAACUGUAUUGCCAACUUAUCAAAAGGGUGACAGCAAGGGUAAGCUAAGGGCCAGUGACAAGGCCUACUAUCUCUGUGUAGAUCCAAGUCCCCUGAGAUCAGUGAAUCCACUGUUGCCUCUCUGAAGAGGAUCAGUGCAGUCUGAGUUCCCAGCAGAGCAUCAGGGGAUAUCUUAUUUUACCCAACUUAAGUGACGGUCUUCCUUGCAAAAAGCCUUAAAAAUUGAAACAAUUUUAAUUACUGCAGCAUGUAAUCUCCCUUUCACGUACAUAGAGCAUCUGAAGCCAGACAUCUCACUCCCAGUCUCAGAUGAGAGUGUGAUUUAUAUCAAGUUUCAGCACAGGACAGAUUUUUAUGGCCAAGUUAUAUUGAAAAAUGGUUACUCUCACUGAAGAUGCUUCACUCCAACAGUGCUAGCAGGUGCUACUUCAAUUAUCCUGUUUACCACCGCCAUAUGUACUGUGGCACACACAGCAAAAUCCGCCUCCAAUGCUCUGCCAUUUACCUAGUGCAUCUCUCUUGAUAGAUUAUUUUAGUAUAUCUUUUAGAAUUCCAAGAUAUGUGAAACAGGACAGACUGGGAAAGCAGGAGAGAAUGGGGAAACAUAAAUGAAAGAAAAGGAAGAAAGAAACAAGAAGAAAACUGCAUGCUGUUUCUUAGGUUGUUGGCAAGACUCCAGUCUGGUUGUAGUAACCAAGUAUACCAUUGUUAUUACCUGUAAUAUACCAUCACAGGGACCCACAGGGGAAUGUCACUCCAAAAAAGGUUGGCAACAAUGGAUUAGACUACUCCCUUCUCCUGGAGACAAAGGGAGAAGUUGUUUCAAGCUAGCAAAUACCAUAUCUCACACCUUCCAUGCCACUCAGUCUCCAAGUCUACCAGCCCUGAUAGGGAGGUAACGUUAGUACAGCACCCACCUGUUUGUCCAGGCUCGAGUUGUGAGUCAAACAUACAGCUACUUUGCUAAUGUUUUUUUUUUAAACAAUUUUAUUCCCACAAUAGUACUAUAAUCUCUCUCAUGGCCUAUACACCCAGAUUUCUGUAUAAGGGCACAUCCCAUUUUCAGGUACGAAAACAGAAAUCCUUUCAUUCAGAAUAAAGAGUUUUACAUUCAUGUUUCUGUAUCAAAUUGUGAGAGCCUCUCUAAUUUCCUCUAUGCAUUAUUUCAGUCAGUAUAAAAGAAUCACUUUCUUAUGAGUUUUAAAUUGGAUUUUUUUUUCUUUUCCGACAUACUGAUUAUAGGAUAGCAUCUUUGUGUAGUUUUGCUUUGGCUGGACUUUCUCUCCCCCCACAUUUUCUCUUCUUAUUUGUGAAGAAGACUUGUUAAUUCGUAUUUUUUUUCACUGUUUUUAUAGGUUAAGCACAUCUGUUUCACAUUGCAUCUGUAGCUUCGUUAGUAAUUGGAAGUGUUACACACAUUUAACCAACCAAUAGAAUGGGUCAUAAAAUGUCAAUACAAAUUAAAUUUUGAUGAAAAGAAGACAUAACGUUUCACAAUAUUUUUUCUUCAAAUGUACUCAUAAACACAAUCUUGGUCUGCUCAUUUAUUAUUUCUAGGCUUGAUUGUAGUUACAUUUUUGGCUAGUUUUUCUGUCUCUUUUUUUGUUUGCAAUCUACUCCUAUUCUGGUAGCUCCAUUGUAUUUUUGUGCUCAUCUUGCAGCUUGCCAUGCUCCAUCUUUACUUGACUACCUUUUGAAAGUUAAAAUUAACAUGUUACUGUUAUUGAACACCCUUCAGACUUUGACUCCUACCUGUUGGAGAAACCUGCUUUAUGUUUAUGAAUUUGCCCAUAAUUUGGGUUCUGUUUCCCAUCUGUCACUUGUUAAACCAUCUGUGCCAUCUGCAAAGUACUUGGACCCAAUUUGGUGGAAUUGUCUUCCUUACAAAAUUCAUGGGAUUCCUACUGCUGAUGCUUUCAAUGCUUCUCCAAUGCAUUUCAUUUGGGAUUUGUAUUUGUUUUGUUCCUUGCAUUACGUGUUUUUAUUCUUGUUAAUGUUACUAUUAUGUAAGGGACAGGAAGAUACAGAAAAUGUAUACAUUUAAAAAACACUAUGAAUACUUAAGCUUUGUGUGUCUGGCAUACAAUUUACCACAGAAGGUUGUAUAUUAUUCAAGACUCCUGUGGAUCAGAAUCCCACAUGUUCUAAAUGGUGUGGAAAAUGGGGAAAGAGGUAUGUGGUCCCAUUUUCCCCACAAAACUUAGGGCAAGAUUCAACUCCAGGAGUCCAGUCACAUAUUAGGUCACUAUAUAUGUGGGCAGAGUUCGUUGCUGUGCUGAGAGCCAGCACCGAGCCUGUACAUCACUUAAGCCCUAUCAGUUUUCAGGCUUCAGCACUGGACUGCAAGUGCCAAAAUACCAGCCAAAAUCUCGGCUGUGGUAAUCUAGUCAUUUACAGUGCCAGAUAAUUUGGUCUUCCAUUUAUUUCUAGUCCUUGGAAACAAAAGAUGUUGGAAUUCUCAUAUGUAUCUUCUGUGACAUU